UACGAAGGGGGCUAGCGUUGUUCGGAAUUACUGGGCGUAAAGCGCACGUAGGCGGACUAUUAAGUCAGGGGUGAAAUCCCGGGGCUCAACCCCGGAACUGCCUUUGAUACUGGUAGUCUCGAGUCCGGAAGAGGUGAGUGGAAUUCCGAGUGUAGAGGUGAAAUUCGUAGAUAUUCGGAGGAACACCAGUGGCGAAGGGCGGCUCACUGGUCCGGUACUGACGCUGAGGUGCGAAAGCGUGGGGAGCAAACAGG
rnacentral:rRNA from 1 species